AAAAAGACAAACCUUGGGUUUCCAUGUCCAACUUUGACUGUCCAUCUUAUAUGAAAUUUUUUUAUAAUUUAUAUUUUCAUUAUUGUUAGAUGAUAAAACAUGAUUAAUAUUUUAUACAUGACUUGUCUUUUUAUUUUUUUUUUCAUAAUUUUUUCAAAUAAGAUGGACGAUCAAACAUUGGAUAUGGAAACCAGUGUUUGUCUUUUUU
rfam:Oryza glaberrima chromosome 9 Oglab09_0006_56, whole genome shotgun sequence.